rnacentral:rRNA from 1 species
ACGGAAGGCUGCAGCUAAGAAUAUUCCGCAAUGGACGAAAGUCUGACGGAGCGACGCCGCGUGGAUGAUGAAAGUCGAAAGAUUGUAAAAUCCUUUUAUGACUGAGGAAUAAGCAGUGUGAGAGAAACGCAUUGUGGUGACUGUAGGUCAUGAAUAAGCAACGGCUAAUUACGUGCCAGCAGCCGCGGUAACACGUAAGUUGCGAGCGUUGUUCGGAAUUAUUGGGCGUAAAGGGCAUGUAGGCGGUUUUGCAAGCUUGGUGUGAAAUCUCGGAGCUCAACUCCGAAAUUGCGUUGAGAACUGCAUAACUAGAGUCACUGAGGGGCAAUCAGAAUUCCAGGUGUAGGGGUGAAAUCUGUAGAUAUCUGGAAGAAUACCAAUGGCGAAGGCAGGUUACCAGCAGAUGACUGACGCUGAGGUGCGAAGGUGCGGGGAGCAAACAGGAUUAGAUUCCCUGGUA